CCACUUGAUGAAGAAGAUCUCAUCCAGUACAUCAUCACUGGAUUGGGCGAGGACUACAACGAGGUGAUAUCGGCUGUGUGUGCGCGGCCAGAACCCAUGACCGUGGGAAAGCUCUACUCCCAGGUCCUCAGCUUUGAGA
rnacentral:snoRNA from 1 species